rnacentral:rRNA from 1 species
AAUAGAUACCCAGGUAGUCCACGCCGUAAACGAUGAGUGCUAAGUGUUAGAGGGUUUCCGCCCUUUAGUGCUGAAGUUAACGCAUUAAGCACUCCGCCUGGGGAGUACGGCCGCAAGGCUGAAACUCAAAGGAAUUGACGGGGGCCCGCACAAGCGGUGGAGCAUGUGGUUUAAUUCGAAGCAACGCGAAGAACCCUACCAGGUCUUGACAUCCUCUGACAACCCUAGAGAUAGGGGCUUCUCCUUCGGGAGCAGAGUGACAGGUGGUGCAUGGUUGUCGUCAGCUCGUGUCGUGAGAUGUUGGGUUAAGUCCCGCAACGAGCGCAACCCUUGAUCUUAGUUGCCAUCAUUCAGUUGGGCACUCUAAGGUGACUGCCGGUGACAAACCGGAGGAAGGUGGGGAUGACGUCAAAUCAUCAUGCCCCUUAUGACCUGGGCUACACACGUGCUACAAUGGACGGUACAAAGAGCUGCAAGACCGCGAGGUGGAGCUAAAUCUCAUAAAACCGGUUCUCAGUUCGGAUUGUAGG